GAUGAACGCUGGCGGCGUGCCUAAUACAUGCAAGUCGAGCGAACAGACGAGGAGCUUUCUCCUCUGACGUUAGCGGCGGACGGGUGAGUAACACGUGGAUAACCUACCUAUAAGACUGGGAUAACUUCGGGAAACCGGAGCUAAUACCGGAUAAUAUAUUGAACCGCAUGGUUCAAUAGUGAAAGACGGUUUUGCUGUCACUUAUAGAUGGAUCCGCGCCGCAUUAGCUAGUUGGUAAGGUAACGGCUUACCAAGGCGACGAUGCGUAGCCGACCUGAGAGGGUGAUCGGCCACACUGGAACUGAGACACGGUCCAGACUCCUACGGGAGGCAGCAGUAGGGUAUCUUCCGCAAUGGGCGAAAGCCUGACGGAGCAACGCCGCGUGAGUGAUGAAGGUCUUCGGAUCGUAAAACUCUGUUAUUAGGGAAGAACAAAUGUGUAAGUAACUAUGCACGUCUUGACGGUACCUAAACAGAAAGCCACGGCUAACUACGUG
rnacentral:rRNA from 1 species